UACGUAGGGGGCAAGCGUUGUCCGGAUUUAUUGGGCGUAAAGCGCUCGCAGGUGGUUCAUUGCGUCGUGCGUGAAAGACCCCGGCUCAACUGGGGAGGGUCAUUCGAAACUGGUCGACUCGAAGGCAGGAGAGGGUAGUGGAAUUCCCGGUGUAGUGGUGAAAUGCGUAGAUAUCGGGAGGAACACCAGUGGCGAAGGCGACUACCUGGCCUGUUCUUGACGCUGAGGCGCGAAAGCUAGGGGAGCAAACGGG
rnacentral:rRNA from 1 species